GACGAACGCUGGCGGCGUGCUUAACACAUGCAAGUCGAACGCUGAAGACCUGGCUUUUGUUGGGUUGGAUGAGUGGCGAACGGGUGAGUAACACGUGAGUAACCUGCCCUCUUCUUUGGGAUAACGCCCGGAAACGGGUGCUAAUACUGGAUAUUCACUGGCCUUCGCAUGGGGGUUGGUGGAAAGGUUUGUUCUGGUGGGGGAUGGGCUCGCGGCCUAUCAGCUUGUUGGUGGGGUGAUGGCCUACCAAGGCUUUGACGGGUAGCCGGCCUGAGAGGGUGACCGGUCACAUUGGGACUGAGAUACGGCCCAGACUCCUACGGGAGGCAGCAGUGGGGAAUAUUGCACAAUGGGCGAAAGCCUGAUGCAGCGACGCCGCGUGAGGGAUGGAGGCCUUCGGGCUGUAAACCUCUUUCGCUCAUGGUCAAGCCGCAACUGUGGGUUGUGGUGAGGGUAGUGGGUAAAGAAGCGCCGGCUAACUACGUG
rnacentral:rRNA from 1 species